GACGAACGCUGGCGGCGUGCCUAAUACAUGCAAGUCCAGCGGACGAAUCGAAAGCUUGCUUUUGAUUCGUUAGCGGCGGACGGGUGAGUAACACGUGGGCAACCUGCCCUGUAGACGGGGAUAACACCGAGAAAUCGGUGCUAAUACCGGAUAACACGAAAUGUCGCAUGACGUUUCGUUGAAAGACGGCGCAAGCUGUCGCUACAGGAUGGGCCCGCGGCGCAUUAGCUAGUUGGUGAGGUAACGGCUCACCAAGGCGACGAUGCGUAGCCGACCUGAGAGGGUGAUCGGCCACACUGGGACUGAGACACGGCCCAGACUCCUACGGGAGGCAGCAGUAAGGAAUCUUCCGCAAUGGACGAAAGUCUGACGGAGCAACGCCGCGUGAGCGAAGAAGGCCUUCGGGUCGUAAAGCUCUGUUGUUAGGGAAGAACAAGUAACGCAGUAACUGGCGUUACCGUGACGGUACCUAACGAGAAAGCCACGGCUAACUACGUG
rnacentral:rRNA from 1 species